CCUACGGGUGACAGCAGUGGGGAAUAUUGCGCAAUGGGGGAAACCCUGACGCAGCAACGCCGCGUGCAGGAAGAAGGCUUUCGGGUUGUAAACUUCUUUUAAGGGGGAAGAGCAGAAGACGGUACCCCUUUAAUAAACCACGGCUAACUACGUGCCAGCAGCCGCGGUAAUACGUAGGUGGCAAGCGUUUUCCGGAUUUACUGGGUGUAAAGGGCGUGCAGCCGGAGAGACAAGUCAGAUGUGAAAUCCACGGGCUCAACCCGUGAACUGCAUUUGAAACUGUUUCCCUUGAGUGUCGGAGAGGCAAUCGGAAUUCCUUGUGUAGCGGUGAAAUGCGUAGAUAUAAGGAAGAACACCAGUGGCGAAGGCGGAUUACUGGACGAUAACUGACGGUGAGGCGCGAAAGCGUGGGGAGCAAACAGGAUUAGAUACCCUAGUAGUC
rnacentral:rRNA from 1 species